rnacentral:rRNA from 1 species
UACAGAGGGUGCAAACGUUGCUCGGAAUUACUGGGCGUAAAGCGCGUGUAGGCGGGCCGGAAAGUCGGGCGUGAAAUCCCUGGGCUCAACCCAGGAACUGCACUCGAAACUUCCGGUCUAGAGUGGUGGAGAGGGAAGUGGAAUUCCUGGUGUAGAGGUGAAAUUCGUAGAUAUGCGGAGGAACACCGAUGGCGAAGGCAAUCCCCUGGGCCUGCACUGACGCUCAUGCACGAAAGCGUGGGGAGCAAACAGG